GUUGUUCUAAGGUGUACGCGUUGUCUCACUACAAGUUGCCGAUCAAGUAAUUUUGAAACGGGAUUGCUCAACGUUAAGGAAGAUGGCAGGCCUUUUCAUUUGGAAGUCAGACGCCUUAACCGGCUUUCCCCCCUGCAUUGUCAUCGCGGGUCAACAUGACUAGACAAUUAACGGCACCACUUAGAUCUUCU
rnacentral:other from 1 species